CCCUUAGAUGUCCUGGGCCGCACGCGUGCUACGCUGACGCCUACAGCGAGUACUUCCCAGCCCCGAGAGGUGGCUGGUAAUCAGCAAUAGGCGUCGUGAUGGGGAUAGAUCUUUGGAAUUAUGGAUCUUGAACGAGGAAUGCCUAGUAAGCGCAGGUCAUUAGCCUGCGUUGAUUAAGUCCCUGCCCUUUGUACACACCGCCCGUCGCUCCUACCGAUUUCGAGUGGUCCGGUGAAUCUUUCGGACUGCGCGCGGCUUCGUGCCGUGUCGCGGAAAGUCAGGUAAACCUUAUCACUUAGAGGAAGGAGAANUCGUANCA
rnacentral:rRNA from 1 species